rnacentral:rRNA from 1 species
AUGAUGUGGAUUCAGAUGGAACAUCCGAAGCAGCUCACUUUUACAUUCAGAAACCUGACCAAUGUGGGGCUUUUUGGUAUCUUUCCUGAGUGUGAUCUGAGAUGGACCAUAUUUAUCCUUGAAGCUGCAGCUGCCCUGCAAAAUUUCAGAGUUUGUCUGUUGUCUCGAGAACGGCAUUCGUGUGCCAAAAUAGCAAAGUGCAUUGCUGAGAAGACCAAUUUGGUGUGGGAGCCAUUGAAGGAUUUGAAGCACCUGAACUUGAAGGUUCUCCAAAUGUCCGGGUUCGAGGAGGAAGACAAGGUGACAAACUACAUAAGGCUAGUCAUGGAGCGAACUGUGGGGUUGAAGAGAAUUGAGCUCCAUGGAGAAGAGCCAUGCGAGAAAUGCGACGACAUUGAUGACAUUGACCCGAGGAAGAGAUCCCAGGUGGAUGAAGCUCGCAGGCGUUGGAUUAAGGAGCGACUCACACAUGGGCCCUCCUCAUCCGUGGAGAUAAUAAUAUGCUGA